CAAUAGCGUAUAUUAAAGUUGUUGCAGUAAAAAAGCUCGUAGUUGGAUUUGUGGCGUACGGUGUGUUCCGGGCACUUGUUGUCUGAGUAACCUGCUGUUGCCAUCCUUGGGUGGAACCUGUGUGGCAUUAGGUUGUCGUGCAGGGGAUGCCCAUCAUUUACUGUGAAAAAAUUAGAGUGUUCAAAGCAGGCUUAUGCCGUUGAAUAUAUUAGCAUGGAAUAAUGAGAUAGGACUUUUUUGCUAUUUUGUUGGUUUGCGCAAGGAGGUAAUGAUUAAUAGGGACAGUUGGGGGUAUUCGUAUUCCAUUGUCAGAGGUGAAAUUCUUGGAUUUUUGGAAGACGAACUACUGCGAAAGCAUUUACCAAGGAUGUUUUCAUUAA
rnacentral:rRNA from 1 species